GAUGAAGAACGUAGCGAAAUGCGAUAAGUAAUGUGAAUUGCAGAAUUCAGUGAAUCAUCGAAUCUUUGAACGCACAUUGCGCCCGCCAGUAUUCUGGCGGGCAUGCCUGUUCGAGCGUCAUUACCACCCUCAGGCCCCCGGGCCUGGCGUUGGGGAUCGGCGGAGCCCCCCGUGGGCACACGCCGUCCCCCAAAUGCAGUGGCGGUCCCGCCGCAGCUUCCAUCGCGUAGUAGCUAACACCUCGCGACUGGAGAGCGGCGCGGCCACGCCGUAAAACACCCAACUCUUCUGAAGUUGACCUCGAAUCAGGUAGGAAUACCCGCUGAACUUAAGCAUAUCAAUAAGCGGAGGA
rnacentral:misc_RNA from 1 species